rnacentral:rRNA from 1 species
AGUGAACGCUGGCGGUAGGCCUAACACAUGCAAGUCGAACGGCAGCACAGUAAGAGCUUGCUCUUACGGGUGGCGAGUGGCGGACGGGUGAGGAAUACAUCGGAAUCUACUUUUUCGUGGGGGAUAACGUAGGGAAACUUACGCUAAUACCGCAUACGACCUACGGGUGAAAGCAGGGGAUCUUCUGACCUUGCGCGAUUGAAUGAGCCGAUGUCGGAUUAGCUAGUUGGCGGGGUAAAGGCCCACCAAGGCGACGAUCCGUAGCUGGUCUGAGAGGAUGAUCAGCCACACUGGAACUGAGACACGGUACAGAAUACUACGGGAGGCAGCAGUGGGGAAUAUUGGUGAAUGGGCGAAAGCAUGAUCAAGCCAUACCGCGUGGGUGAAGAAGGCCUUCGGGUUGUAAAGCCCUUUUGUUGGGAAAGAAAAGCAGCAGGUUAAUACCCCGCUGUUCUGACGGUACCCAAAGAAUAAGCACCGGCUAACUUCGUG